AGUUUUUCAUAAUUUAACGCUUAUAUAAAGUUGUAAUAAGGACAACAGUUUCUACCCAAUGCCGUAAAUAUUGGACUAUAAGCAAAUAAACGUUUGUU
rfam:Enterococcus cecorum DSM 20682 = ATCC 43198 genomic scaffold adfme-supercont2.1, whole genome shotgun sequence.